ACUAGCAGUUGGCCUAUGUGGAGCUCAGGAGUGUCAACAAUGGCAUUAGAAGGGACUGAACAACACAGAUAACCCAGAAACAGAUGGAGCUGCUUCAGCAAAGACAAAGUUUUGGAGAGAAGAACAGGGAAUGUGUACACUCAUACAGAAAUCUAACAACUAAUGAGAAAAUUAAAGCAUCAGCAUUUGAAGAAAGAACACAGAUGUAAACAGAAAAUCAAUAAGGUUCUUUGCAUCCUCGUCACAACCUGCCUCCUUGCCUAGCUUCAUAUCAUCAGAAGACAUGGAUACCACACAUCAUCCAGAUCAUUGGAUCACAAAUAAUCGAGGGCCCAACACUAAUCCCUGUGGCACUCCACCGGUCACAGUUUGCCAUCGUGAAAAUGACUCUCCUUCUGAGGUCUGAAGAACAGUCAUACUAGACUUGUAAGACUAAUUCUGUUUCCCUGUCCACAGAUGAUGCCUGACUAACGAGUUAUCCAGCAUUCUCCAUAUCUACCUCCUCAUUAUCCUCCCCAUUUGUUAAUUCCUCAAAGAGUCUUCUAAAUGUGUCAAGCACAAUUUUCCUUUCACAAAACAAUGUUGAUAUUGCCUGGUUGCAUUUUCUAACUGUCUU